rnacentral:rRNA from 1 species
UGUCUUGCGGAUCAGGUCAUGUAUCAUGUCAUGGACGAAGAUUCUCCUAAGGGAAUUUGGGACAAGUUGGCAAAUCGUUAUAUGUCCAAGUCAGCGACCAAUAAGCUGUAUUUGAAGCAAAAGUUCUAUGGGCUGAAGAUGCAGGAGGGGUCGGAUCUUGUGGAGCAUGUGAAUGCCUUUAAUCAAUUGGUCACGGAUCUAGCGCGUCUGGAUGUGAAGAUUGAGGAUGAGGAUAAGGCACUACUUCUUCUUGUUUUGUUGCCACCGUCCUAUGAGCAUUUGGUCAUUACAUUGACACAUGGAAAGACAACCGUCAAUAAUGAGGAAGUCACUGCAGCGUUGCUUGGGCAUGAGUUGAGGAAGCAAAAGAAUGCUACAGAGGAGAGUACUCAAGGUUUGGGGUUGGCAGUUAAAGGCUAUCAGAUCAGGAAGGGACAAGAGGCGGAGAAGAAAAAGAAGAAAAAGGUGCAGUGCUAUAGGUGCAAGGACUGGGGACAUAUAAAGAGGGAAUGCCCAGAACUGAAGGGUGGGGCAAGUGCUAAUGCGGCUACUCAUGGUGAUGACUCAGACAGCAGUAGUGAUGUUCUCGUAGUAUCAAACAUGCGGUCAAAAAAGCUGAAGCGUGGAUGUUGGAUUCAGCUUGCUCUUUUCAUGCGACGCCCAAAAGGGAGUGGUUCUCUUCGUACAAGUCUGGUGAGUUUGGUUUAG